rnacentral:rRNA from 1 species
ACGGCUCAGUAACACGUCGAUAAUCUGCCCUUAGGUUGAGGAUACCCACGGAAAACUGUGGCUAAUACUCAAUAGUGAAGAGAUUCUGGAAUGAACUCUUUAUUAAGCGUAAGGCCUAAGGAUGAGUCGGCGGCGGAUUAGGCAGUUGGCGGUGUAACGGACCACCAAACCUUAGAUCCGUAGGGGCCCUGAAAGGGGUAGCCCCGAGAGGGACACUGAAAUACUGGUCCCAGCUCCACGGAGUGCAGCAGGCGCGUAACCUCCACAAUGCGCGAAAGCGUGAUGGGGGGAUCCCGAGUGCUUACAUUUUUUGUAAGCUUUUGCCAAGAGCAAAUAUCUUGGAGAAUAAGUGGUGGGUAAGACCGGUGCCAGCAGCCGCGGUAACCCCGGCGCCACGAGUGGCAAUCUUAUAUUUGGCCUAAAGCAUUCGUAGCCGGUUUAAAAAAUCCUUUGUGAAAUCGUUGAACUCAAUACAACGGCAUGCAGGGGACACUUUUAGGCUAGAGACUGGGAGGAGUUAGGGGUAUUUCUGGGGGAGCGGUUAAAUGCGAUAAUCCUAGAAAGACCACCUGUGGCGAAGGCGCCUAACUAGAACAGUUCUGACGGUGAGGGAUGAAAGCUAGGGGAGCGAUCCGGAUUAGAUACCCGAGUAGUCCUAGCUGUAAACUCUGCGAGCUAGGUGUCGCAU